ACUCCUACGGGAGGCAGCAGUAGGGAAUCUUCGGCAAUGGGGGGAACCCUGACCGAGCAACGCCGCGUGAGUGAAGAAGGUUUUCGGAUCGUAAAGCUCUGUUGUAAGAGAAGAACGGGUGUGAGAGUGGAAAGUUCACACUGUGACGGUAUCUUACCAGAAAGGGACGGCUAACUACGUGCCAGCAGCCGCGGUAAUACGUAGGUCCCGAGCGUUGUCCGGAUUUAUUGGGCGUAAAGCGAGCGCAGGCGGUUAGAUAAGUCUGAAGUUAAAGGCUGUGGCUUAACCAUAGUAUGCUUUGGAAACUGUUUAACUUGAGUGCAGAAGGGGAGAGUGGAAUUCCAUGUGUAGCGGUGAAAUGCGUAGAUAUAUGGAGGAACACCGGUGGCGAAAGCGGCUCUCUGGUCUGUAACUGACGCUGAGGCUCGAAAGCGUGGGGAGCAAACAGGAUUAGAUACCCUGGUAGGUGA
rnacentral:rRNA from 1 species